rnacentral:rRNA from 1 species
UAAGGAAUAUUGGUCAAUGGACGGAAGUCUGAACCAGCCAUGCCGCGUGGAGGAUGAAGGCCCUCUGGGUUGUAAACUUCUUUUAUUUGGGACGAAACACUCUUUUUCUAAAGAGCUUGACGGUACCAGAUGAAUAAGCACCGGCUAACUCCGUGCCAGCAGCCGCGGUAAUACGGAGGGUGCAAGCGUUAUCCGGAUUCACUGGGUUUAAAGGGUGCGUAGGCGGAUUUGUAAGUCCGUGGUGAAAUCUCUAAGCUUAACUUGGAAAUUGCCGUGGAUACUAUAAGUCUUGAAUAUUGUGGAGGUUAGCGGAAUAUGUCAUGUAGCGGUGAAAUGCAUAGAUAUGACAUAGAACACCAAUUGCGAAGGCAGCUGGCUACACAACUAUUGACGCUGAGGC